GAGGGCUCAUUUAAAUUGAUUAAUAUCAAGUAUAAAAGAAGAGACAUAAAAUAGUGUUGUACGACUGUUUAAUUAAAACAAAGCACUUUGCAAAAGAUGAUAAAUCAAUGUAUUAAGUGUGAUAUCUGCCCAAUGCCGUCAGCUUAAUUAUAGAUAUUAAU
rnacentral:rRNA from 1 species